rnacentral:lncRNA from 1 species
UAGCAAGUAUCCAUACCGGCCAUUAAAAAUUGUCAAAUUUGUGAACUUUUGAUCGUAAGGUAAAUGAUGUCGAAAAUUAUAAAUUUAAUUUUUAAAAGUUUUAAAUGCUGUAAAUAACGUUUAACGAUAUGGAUCGUCAAUUCGGAAGCUCUAUUAUCGAAAACGAUUUUAUGAGUACGAGAGCGAUCUACUCAUAAUAGAUAUAGUAGCCGGACCCUAUAUAUUAUAUAUAUUAUUAUAUAAUAUAUAUAUAUAUAUUAGAAGAGAGGGGAGAGCUGUGAGAAGGGAGAGCCCCGCGGUGAUGAGGGAGAGAGCGGAGAGCUCGGGCGAGAAUGCCGUGGCUAUUAUACUAUUAUGAGUAUUGGAGUUCUCGUACUCAUAAGUUGUUUUCAAUGAUGGAGCUUCCGAAUCGACGAUCCACUCCGUUAAUAUGAUCUAGAGUAUUUGAAACUUCUAGAAAGUAAAUUUCGCAAAUUUUCGAAAUCAUUAUAAAGUCCAUCAAGCCGGCAUAAAAUGAAUAGUCAAAAUCGAAUGACGUCCUAAAGAGGAUGAUCGAACCCUUCAAUUCAAGAUCAGAGUUAUUGAUUUUAUCUAGGUAGUGAAUAGAAUUUUCUAUCAAAAAUUCAACAAAUUUUGAUUCUUUUACACCGUUAAACUAGCAAGUAUCCAUACCGGCCAUUAAAAAUUGUCAAAUUUGUGAACUUGAUCGUAGGUAAAUGAUGUCGAAAAAUUAUAAAAUUUAAUUUUUAAAAGUUUUAAAUGCUGUAAAUAACGUUUAACGAUAUGGAUCGUCAAUCGGAAGCUCUAUUAUCGAAAACGAUUUAUGAGUACGAGAGCGAUCGUACUCAUAAUAGUAUAGUAGCCGGACCCUAUAUU